CGCACAGUAAAUCACAAUGAGACAUUUAAACAAAGAGCAUGGUCACAACAUUUAAAAUGACAUUUGUGAAUAAAAUUUGUAGUAAUAUGACACUCCUGUUUCUGUAGGAAUUUAGAAAUAAAAAAAUGGUUUAGAUAAAAGUAAGACUAACAAAGGAAUAUUAGCACUAUAUUACUCUUGAUGAAUUUGAAUGUCAGAUUUCAUGGUACUUUUCAUAUACUGCAAUGUCACGAUUCCCCCUUGAAGCAGUGUGCUCUAAGCGCGAAUGCGCGAGCACCUGCUUUUCCGCUGUUGACCGUAGUGACAUUGGGACACGUGUGUUUUGUUUAUGUCUGUCAUGUCUCCUCCCUGUUCCGUCAUUGGCUGGGAAUUCACGUGGGUCUGAAUUGCUCUCAGCUGAUAGUAGUUGAGACGCUGAUCAUGUCCGCAUAUAUACCGCGCGCUUCCCAGCACACAGCGCGGAAGAUUAAUAAGUCGUAAGUAGUAAGUAAAUGGUUAGCAUAGUCAUAGUCGUAGUCAUAGUCGUAGUCAUAGUCAUAGUCAUAGUCAUAGUCGUAGUCAUAGUCGUAGUCAUAGUCGUAGUCAUAGUCGUAGUCAUAGUCAUAGUCGUAGUCAUAGUCGUAGUCAUAGUCAUAGUCAUAGUCAGUUCGCGCUGGAUUCUCCGCUUCCAGUCCCUCGUUCUAGUUCGUGUCUUGUUUUGGUUAUCGACCUAGAUUCCUGCCUAGCCCUGUGUAUGCCUGUUUGCCAAUCGCCUGACCUAUUGCAUGUUUAUGGAUUACGUUUUGGAUCACGUUUUGGAUUUGUCUGCCUGCCUGUCUCUACAAAUAAACAACUGUUGUCCUGCACUUGCAUCCGCUUUAUCUCUGCUCCGUCACGAUUUGUGACAGAAUCUUCCGCCAUAACAUGGAUGCAGCAGGAGGACUAGAGAGAAGGCACGCCACAGCAACCAGGAAAAUCGUAGGACGAUACCGCAUCGGGGAACGCUCGGAUUACUGGCCGCAUUUUUUAUCCGCGCAAUUUCCACAAAGGUACGCCCUUGAAUUGCCGCCAGAGACAGUGGGAUUGGGGAGCUACCCGCUGGAGUUUCUCUUCAGCUGCCAGGAGUAUUUCUGCAGCUUGGCGGUUCCCAAGCCUACUAAGAGAGUGGAUCGGGUUCCUGGUGUCCAGGUUUUGCGGCCCGGCCCGUGACUGGGUGGAGCAGCUGGUGAGUGCUGGGUCGCCAGCCCUCCAUGAUGUCACUCAGUUUACAGAGCUGUUUAUGGAGGAGUUUUCACAGCCUGGACAACUUCGUGGUCUUGAUUUACUGGGGUGGAGAGUCAAUGGACAGCCCCAGGUGGACCCACCAUUCAACCUCUAUUAUGAGGAGAUGGACAGGGCAGUAACCAGCGAUCCACUUCAGUUUCCGGCCAACACGGGGGCGAAAUCCCCGAGAUGUAUGACUGAGGGCUGCGGGAGAGAGACUCAGCUUCAAUGUCCCACUUGCAGGAAGCUGGGCCUCCAGGAAGCUUUCUUCUGCUCUCAGGAAUGCUUCAAGAGCAGCUGGCGGGAGCAUAAGAAACUCCACCGGAGAGCCCGUGCAGAGACCCAGCCCGGGACCGACAGGGUGACCUCAGAGCUCGAACCUGAGCCCCACGAGGUGGGCUCACCUGCCGAGCUCCAACAAAAGGUCCAAGUCCAAGUCAAGUCUCACGUCCCUGAGAUCCAAGUCAAGUCUCACGUCCCUGAGAUCCAAGUCAAGUCUCACGUCCCUGAGCUCCAGGUCCAGCCUCCAGUCCCUGAGCUCCAGGUCCAGCCUCCAGUCCCUGAGCUCCAGGUCCAGCCUCCAGUCAGGAAGGUCCAGGUCAAGUCUCAUGUCCCUGAGGUCCAGCCUCCAGUCCCUGAGCUCCAGGUCCA
ensembl:lncRNA